GAUGAACGCUGGCGGCGUGCCUAAUACAUGCGAGUCGAGCGAACAGACGAGGAGCUUGCUCCUCUGACGUUAGCGGCGGACGGGUGAGUAACACGUGGAUAACCUACCUAUAAGACUGGGAUAACUUCGGGAAACCGGAGCUAAUACCGGAUAAUAUAUUGAACCGCAUGGUUCAAUAGUGAAAGACGGUUUUGCUGUCACUUAUAGAUGGAUCCGCGCCGCAUUAGCUAGUUGGUAAGGUAACGGCUUACCAAGGCAACGAUGCGUAGCCGACCUGAGAGGGUGAUCGGCCACACUGGAACUGAGACACGGUACAGACUCCUACGGGAGGCAGCAGUAGGGAAUCUUCCGCAAUGGGCGAAAGCUUGACGGAGCAACGCCGCGUGAGUGAUGAAGGUCUUCGGAUCGUAAAACUCUGUUAUUAGGGAAGAACAAAUGUGUAAGUAACUAUGCACGUCUUGACGGUACCUAAUCAGAAAGCCACGGCUAACUACGUG
rnacentral:rRNA from 1 species